AACGAACGCUGGCGGCAUGCCUAACACAUGCAAGUCGAACGAGACCUUCGGGUCUAGUGGCGCACGGGUGCGUAACGCGUGGGAAUCUGCCCUUGGUUCGGAAUAACAGUUAGAAAUGACUGCUAAUACCGGAUGAUGACGAAAGUCCAAAGAUUUAUCGCCGAGGGAUGAGCCCGCGUAGGAUUAGCUAGUUGGUGAGGUAAAGGCUCACCAAGGCGACGAUCCUUAGCUGGUCUGAGAGGAUGAUCAGCCACACUGGGACUGAGACACGGCCCAGACUCCUACGGGAGGCAGCAGUGGGGAAUAUUGGACAAUGGGCGAAAGCCUGAUCCAGCAAUGCCGCGUGAGUGAUGAAGGCCUUAGGGUCGUAAAGACUCUUUACCUAGGGAGUGAUAAUGACAGUACCUGGAGAAUAAGACUCCGGCUAACUCCGUGCCAGCAGCCGCGGU
rnacentral:rRNA from 1 species